AAUUUUCAAAAGGUUGAGGGGGUUCACAUUCCUGCCAGCAAAGCGUGAGCGCCUGUUGUGGCGAGGGCUGCGUGGCUGCUUUUUGACAAAAUGACUUGUUUUAAUUUGUUUCCCUGACCACUGGUGUGAGUGAGCUGUGUCUCCUGUUACAGAAGAGUCUCUCCAAUGCCAGCGCUCUGUGACUUAGCAGAUGUCUGUGGACUUCUGUCUGGGGAUUCUUAUCCACCUUCAAGUUCACCAACCCUCAGCUGGAGCACUGGAAAUGGGGACUCUGCUGCUUCUCUCCCUCUCUGGUGGGGAACUUGGGGCACAGGAACCUCAAACUAAGCUACUGCUGCAUCUGGUAGACCAUUUCUAAGCAGCACAGCGCUUCCUGUCUUUCCUGUUUCGGCCACGCUCUGUCGCAUCUGGACCCCGUAUGAAUGACUUGAAUGCCCCACCGGCCAGUGACACGCAUGUAGGCGGUGCCACGUUAAGUCACUGGACGUAUGCAGUGUCCCACUUCCGUGAACGUAUCUGCAGGGAAAAUCCAGAGGUGCAAUUCCCGAGGGAAGGUCAUUGCUGCUGUUACUUUAGUGGACAAGUCCGGAGUUCCCACUAGGCUCCCACAUCCUCUGCCUGCUGCAAGCAGUGUCUGUGGGCCGCAGUCUCACCUGUCAGUACAGUUUUUAUUUGCCAAUGUGUUAGGUGAAAGGAAAAAAAAGUCACUUCAACGGGGUUUUCCUUUUAUGUUUUACUUUUUUACCCUCACAUCCUGGGAAGGACACUUUAGUGUUUUGUUUUUGUUUUUGUUUUGAGACGGAGUCUGGCUCUGUAGCCCAGGCUGGAGUGCAGUGGCGCGAUCUCCACCUCGGCUCACUGCAAGCUCCGCCUCCCGGGUUCACGCCAUUCUCCUGCCUCAGCCUCCUGAGUAGCUGGGACUACAGGCGCCCACCACCGCGCCCAGCUAACUUUUUGUAUUUCUAGUAGAGACGGGGUUUCACCGUGGUCUCGAUCUCCUGACCUCGUGAUCCGCCCGCCUCGGCUUCCCAAAGUGCUGGGAUUACAAGCGUGAGCCACUGCUCCCGGCCUGGAGAGGUUUUUAAUUUGCAUUUCUGCGCUGAGGGGGGAGGAUCCCCGUAUCUCUGGCAGCUGUCCUUCAGUAUCUUCUCCGGGAGCCUUUGUAUGGUUGAUUUAGAGCUGUUUAUUACUACACUGUUACUAGUCUUAUUAAGGUGAGCUCUGUGAUGUGAGUUGCAAGUUGUGUGCCCCACCUCACAGUUGGGGGCUCGUCUUUUUGACUUCGCUUAUGUAGUUUGGCUCUGCAGACGCCCCCUACCCCCCUCCCACCCACGACGCGGUGGAACUUCUGGAUUCUGUGCCACGCUUGGAAAAGCCGCCUUGGCCCCAAGACAGAAAAAGCUUCCCUGAGUUUUCUUCUAGGCUUUAUCGCUUCCUUUUUUCGGCUUAAAUCUUACAUGAUGGGACUCCAUCCCGGUGCAAAAAAGUACCACGACUUGACCACGCACCCGUCUGAAUCGCCAUCCCAAUCGGGUACUACAGUCCCUAAGCACAAGCAGCCUUCUCGUCUGUGCAUAAAAGCGUGGAUCUGACACGCACCUGCAGCGGCUCUGCGGCGUGAAGGCCGGCCCAGGGGUCGCCGUGUUGAGGCGCCUGGCUCAGGCCCACGCGCGCCGGGCAGGGCAGGGCGCGGGCCCCUCUAGGUCCCAGGCGGAGGUCGGCGCCUCUGCGCCCCGCGGGCUCCCCGAGCCCGCCACGGACGUCCCGGCCGAGCAGAGCUGGGACUCACCGAACCGGCGGGGAAGCCCCGCGAAGCCCACGCCUCGGGGAGAAUUUCCUGCGUGUUCCAAGCGCGCCCGGCGCGACCUCUCAGUCCUGGGACCCCCGCGAUCCCUCCGUCCCGCGCGACCCUCCGUCCCGCGAGCCCCCUCCGGCG